ACUGGGGUGGCAGAGCAUGGUAUGAUUGCAAAAGACCUAAACCCUUUACACGGAGGUUCAAAUCCUCCCCCCAGCU
rnacentral:tRNA from 1 species